rnacentral:lncRNA from 1 species
UGAGCAGAGAAGAGGCCCUGGAGCCUAUGUGCAAGUCUGAGCUCUGCCACUUCCUGGGCUCUGUGAUCCUGGGGGUGCUUCUGAAGCUCUCUGUGCCUCAUGUCCCUCACCCAGAGAAAGGACAUAGGCACCUUGCACUUCACAGUGGGAUGAGUCAUGAAAAUGGCCGUUGCUCAUGGGGCUCUUCUGGUCAGUCUGCUCCCUCCUGAAGGGGCAACGAAUGAACGAAUGCACUCUGCUGUUGCCAUCACUGUAGGGUCUGCUUUGCUGAGGAAUGGAUCUGGGGAACUCUGAUGCAUCACAAGGGAGCCUAAACGGUGAUCGGCUGUGCCAGGCUCCCCAGGGGAAGCUAACACCAGAGAGGCAACGCAAUACGGGAACCCGACAUCACUGCAGCCAACAUGCUUGACACUGAGCUGCUUUGCUGAGGUCUGAAACAAGGGGAGCCUGAUUCCGCCUCUCCUCUGUCUCCCAUCUCACCACGACAUGCGAGACACUGCUAACCACCACUCCCAGAGGAUCUCCUAUCCUUCUGAUCUUAGUGUAACCAAAAGUAAGUCAUUCUGAAUGGAUAAAGAAAAUGUGGUACAGCUACACAAUGGAAUUCUAUUCAGCUAUUAAAAACAAAGACAUCGUGAAUUUUGCAGGCAAAUGGAUGGACCUUGAAAAUAUCAUCCUGAGUGAGGACCACAGGUGACCAUGGGUAACUUGAAACCACGGACUGAGAACUACAGAGGAGCAUCCAUUCCCACUGCAAGGCUGUAACCGGACGUUAACAUGCUCAGUGGAGCUGCAGACUGAUAUGUUCACCAGCAACGAGGCCGACACAGCCAGCAUCACUGAC